CCGUGGGCGGGGCUUUGGGGGCGCCGGCAGCCACCUAGGGAGCCGGGGCCGGCGGGCGGCGAUCCCCGCCGCUGAGCUCGCGCGCCCGCCUCGGCUCAAGCCGCCCCCUCCCGCACGCCCGCCGCACGGUCUGAGCCAAUUCGCUUCCCGGCGGCGCUUUGCGCGGAGGAAAACCUGGCGGUGGAAGGCUCCGGCUCUGCCGGUGACCGCUCUGAAUACAAAGAGCCUUUCUCACGCCCCUGCGCCCUUCUCCGGGGCGCCCAUAUACAAGGGACCAACUCUGUGACGCCCGAGCCCACGACGGUCGGGGCUGCAGCACCAUUUCUGUGGUUCUUGCAGCGAAAUGUGGUCCCAAGUAUUUGUUUACAAAGGAAGAUUUAAUAAAGAUUAUAACAACUUUUGUCUCUGCAAUUAAAGAGGGAAAAAAAAUGAGAAAGGAAGCCCAUGGAAACGUCCCAGAAAGCCAACCUGCCAGGAUCCAGACGUUCCUGGAGGAAGGCCAGAUGGCUAAAGCAGGAGAGAAAAAGGGCAGAAACUCUUACAAUCCCUAACCGGCCCCCACUGCUUCUCUGGUGGGGGAUACUUUGAGCUCCCACAUGCCUGUCAUUUGAAAUGAAGAUUCAUGAACACAAAACACAAUGUUGGAAGGUCAUCAAGUUCCAGAUGAUGUCACUAAGAGAUACAGUCCUCUCAAUAUUCAAGAGCCACCCUUCUACAGAGAACGCCUAGACUGCUUAUCAAUGGGACAUGACAGAGGCAAAAACCUGGUUGAAUACUGCUUUCACCAACCCAUGGAGCCAACUCUGCCCUGACAGCUAGCAAGAGGCCAAGACCUGCAGAACAACCACUAAAACGCCUCUCUGUUAGCAGGAAUCAGUUACAGAAGAUUGACCUUCGUCCAUUUUCCUCAAAGAAUUGGGUAUUGGACUCUCGAGUGGGGAAAUGUUACAGUAGGUAGCUAGUCAGGCUUGAGCUGUGCAAGAGAGGGCCUAACCUCUAACCCUGCCACACACACACACCAGAAAUUUCAGGCAACCAUCAGGUUAUGGUCAGGUGGUUAACUGUCUCUCUAAAAUAAUAAUUGGUCACAGCCAACGCCAGGGAAAGUUAGUCUCCCAAUAAAUAGAAACACCUGAAACUGGUGAUCAGCAGCAUCCUGAUAAGAUCUCAGGAGUUGGGUGCAUGGGCUCAAGCUUGCCCAUUAAGAGGCAAAAUUGUGGCGUUUAACUAGUAUAUGACCUUCUAGGGACAUUUGACUGGUAAGGGAAGAAUGCCUCAAAUGAGCAAAUAUGCAACUCCAGCAAACACACUGUGCAUGCUCUCCUCUCAAGUGCUAGCAGGCCACUGUAUGUGCAGACAGCCCCUCCCAAAGGAAGAAACGGGGAGAAGGGAUGCAAGGCCUUGGAAGCAUGCUAAUGUAUGAAACCCCAAGACAAAAGGUCAAACCGUGCACUUAUCUGUCAAAUCACCCACUUUACCCUCUUCCAAGGUGAUCUCUCAAGUCACCUGCUUCACCCUCUUCCAAGUGUACGUUACCUCUUCUCAUUCCUGCUCUAAAGCUUUUUCAUAAACUUUCACUCCUGAUCUGAAACUUGCCUUAGUCUCUCCUUCUGCUUAUGUCUCUCAGUCAAACUCUUUCUUCUGAGGAGGCAAGAAUUGCGAUUUCUGCAAACCUGUAUGGAUUUGCCACCAGUAAGAAAACUUACAAAACUCAAAGACAGAGAAUUUUGAAAGCAGCAAGAGAAAACAUUUGUCCUAAUUUCAAAUUAUGUUAGAAAACUGUAGCAAUCAAAAGAGCAUGGCACUAGCAUAAAAACAGAUACAUAGAUCAAUGAAAAAGAAUAGAGAACACAGAAAUAAACCCAUGCAUAUGCAGUUAGCCCAUCUUCAACAAAAGCACCAAGAUUAUACAAUAGGGAAAGAAUAGUGAAGGGAAUUAAAAUACUUUAUCCCAAAAUACAUUUCUUUGACAUAUUUUUAAAUGGCUGCUUCUUGGCCAGCAGGCAGAAUUGGCCUUGUGAAGCUAUUUUAAGUGCAGAAAAUUUGCAUCUGUAGAGAAUCUCCAUUAGCGAAGCCAUCUCUACUUCCCUUCCUAUGCCUUCCCCCAGAUCCAGGAGAGGUUGAGAGUCUGACGCCUUAAUUAUUUAUUUAAAACCUUUUCCUCCACCUCUGGCAGAUGAACUGACACCUUUAAAGAUCUGAAAAGAAAUGUUUACUAUCUAUUCUCUCUGAAGGAGGCUUCAUCUACAUAAAAAGGCCACCUUUGCUAGUCAAGCCUCCUCAUUUCUCUCUCUUUAAACCUGCCUUGCCAUUAAACCUGAUUUGCCUGUUUCUAGACUUGCUCAUAGUCUGCAUUCUUCACUGCGGCCUCAGGAUAAUAUACACGUUUCUGUAACUCAUUGUGAAGUUGGGCUUUUAUUCUGAAGGCUCCUGUGGAUGCAUGUUAAAUAAAUUUUUAUGCCUUUUCUCCUAUAAAUCAAUCUGCCUAAUGUCAGUGAUUUUUAGCAAACCUUUAGGGGGCCAAGAGCCUAUGGCUCCCACAGUAAUUUUGUCAAUAACGGGCUGAGAAAAAUGAAUAUCGACAUAUAAAAGAAAGAAAUUGUACUCUUAUCUUACAGUGUACGCAAAAAUCAACUCAAAAUAGAUUAAAGUGUUAGAAUAAGACCUGAAAACCAAAAACUCCUAGAAAACUUAGGAAGAAAGCUUUCUGACAUUGGACUUGGCAGUGAAUUUUGGAUAUAACAUCAAUAGCAAAGUGAACUAAAGCAAAAAUAAACAGAUGAAAUUGUAUUAAACAAAAACUUUCUACACAGGAAUGGAAACAAUCAACAAAAUGAAAAGAAAACUGAAUAAGGGGAAAUAUUUGCAAACCAUAUCUCAGAUAAGAAGUUAAUAUUCAAAAUAUAUAAUGAACUUGUAAACCAAAAAUAGAAUUCUAAGCCCCCCUACCUGACUGGUGGACCCUCCCCUCACCCAAAGGCAUUUCAAAUUGUUCCAAAAAACUAGUUCAGGCCAUGAUGGGAAGUGGGGGUCAAACAUGUCUCACAAACAUCAACACAGAGACCGUAAGACUGAUAGAACAGACUUUUAAAAUCUGUUAAGAAACACCAUCUAUUCUCUCUGAAGCUUACCUACAGGCUUCGUUUACAUGAUAAAGUCUUGGUCUCCACAUCCCUUUAUCAAAACCCAGACAUUCCCUUCCAAUAGAUUCCAGGUCUUUAGAUAAAAACUCUUUCAACCAUUUGCUAAUCAGAAAAUCUUUAAAUCUGCUUGUGACCUGGAAAUCUCUGCUUUGAGUUGUCCCACCUUUCUGAAUUGAGCCAAUAUACUUCUUACACAUAUUGACCCAUAUCUCAUGUCUCCCUAACAUGUCUAAAACCAAGCUGUACCCUAACCUUGGGCAUAUGUUGUCAGGACAUCCAGAGGCUGUUGUUCACAGACGUAUCCUUAACCUUGGCAAAAUAAACUUUCUAAACUGA